rnacentral:rRNA from 1 species
UACGAAGGGGGCUAGCGUUGCUCGAUGAUACUGGGCGUAAAGCGCACGUAAGCGGCUUUCUAAGUCGGGGGUGAAAUCCUGGAGCUCAACUCCAGAACUGCCUUCGAUACUGGAGAGCUCGAGUCCGGGAGAGGUGAGUGGAACUGCGAGUGUAGAGGUGAAAUUCGUAGAUAUUCGCAAGAACACCAGUGGCGAAGGCGGCUCACUGGCCCGGUACUGACGCUGAGGUGCGAAAGCGUGGGGAGCGAACAGG